UACGGAGGGUGCAAGCGUUAUCCGGAUUUACUGGGUUUAAAGGGUGUGUAGGCGGGCUGUUAAGUCAGUGGUGAAAUCUCCGGGCUCAACCCGGAAACUGCCAUUGAUACUAAUGGUCUUGAAUUUUGUUGAGGUAGGCGGAAUAAGUCAUGUAGCGGUGAAAUGCAUAGAUAUGACUUAGAACACCAAUCGCGAAGGCAGCUUGCUAAACAAAUAUUGACGCUGAGGCACGAAAGCGUGGGGAUCAAACAGG
rnacentral:rRNA from 1 species